ensembl:snRNA
GUGUUGUAUAAAAGGAGAGAAGGUUAGCACUCCCCUUGACAAGGACAGAAGAGGCCCUUGGGCCUGAAACCAUGCAUGAAGUUAAGGCAUUGCCACCUACUUCAUGGCAUCUAACCACUGUUUUAA